CAAUAGCCGCGGGAAUACGGAGGGUGCAAGCGUUAAUCGGAAUUACUGGGCGUAAAGCGCACGCAGGCGGUCUGUCAAGUCAGAUGUGAAAUCCCCGGGCUUAACCUGGGAACUGCAUUUGAAACUGGCAGGCUAGAGUCUUGUAGAGGGGGGUAGAAUUCCAGGUGUAGCGGUGAAAUGCGUAGAGAUCUGGAGGAAUACCGGUGGCGAAGGCGGCCCCCUGGACAAAGACUGACGCUCAGGUGCGAAAGCGUGGGGAGCAAACAGGAUUAGAUACCCCUGUAGUCCCUGUCUCUUAUAC
rnacentral:rRNA from 1 species